CUAUGAUUCUAUUAUACUACAUGAAGAACAGUGAGCUAUGGAGAUAGACUGUUUACAGUGAACCACAAUCCAAACUGUACCUCAAAGCUUCCAUAGCAGACAAAGGAGAGUAUCCUUUUGUUUGGUUUGUUUCCAGGUUGUGUGGGCUGUUCAUUGAGAGAGCACCGAAGUGGAUCAGACCCUGCAGGGCAGAGCUGAGGCUGUUUCUGGAAAGUCUGUGGAGACCAUAAGCUUGAGGGUAGCAGCAAAGGACCGGAGUCUGCAGUUCACAGGGAGAAAGUACUGGAAGAAGAGGGACAGAGAAAACCUACACCUGAAAGGGAGAUGACAGAACUCUUCUAGACAGUAUUUCUGGUGCGUCUCUACCUCACAGAAGAACUGAAGCAAUAAACUUGUCAGUCCAUCGUGAAUAUUGAAAUCAGAAACAAACAGAAAUGAGACUCUCUGAUAAAGCACCCUGUUCCCCCCUCCCUGCACUCAACACAUUGAUACUGCUACACAGAAGCCUGGCAUUUCAGUCACAAUAGAUGAACUGUUGUUAUGAAGGAUGAUCUGAUUGGAAUAAAUGCGAAUGAAGACUUGCUCAGCCAUAUAUUAAAUGUGCUCUGUGGUCAUGUGUGAGACAAACACAAAUACCAUUAAUCAAAUUUUUAGUAGAUUUUUCCCUUGCCUGCUAGUCUUUUCGUUCUUUUUAAUAGCCAAAAGGAUUUCAGAGAAGAUGAAAAAGGGCAAAACUACUCCCAUUUGGUAAUGCACUGUAACACCACUAAGUCAUCAGGGAAAUGGACCAGGUACCUGAGUACUUGAAGAAACAGCACAGAGUAUUUUGACAGCAACAUGAAAUACUACAUGUUUCUUGGUGAAUUAACCAGAAUAAGGGAAAUGACAACCGAACUCUGCAUCUGCAGAAGACAAAAAUGGCUCUUUCCUUGCACUUAGACAACACAGCUUAGAUAAGCAUACAAACUGCCUGCUGUGCUGCUACUUCAUAACCUGCAUGGCUGGUACGUUGCUAUCCUAGAUGGGUUAACUCCAUGCUGAUAUAGGAAUGGUCAUGAACUAGCAAUUGCAUUUAUUUACUUUGAAAAUACGUGUCAGGUCCACUGACAUAAGUAAGCCAUGGGCACUAAUAAUGACUCCCUGCACAGAGUUAAAAUCCCAGAUGCAUUAGGUCAGGCAUGUCCAACCUGCAGCCUGCAGGCUGCACACAGCCUGGUCCAGCACAUUCUGCAGCUACCCUCUGCCCAGAGCCAUCACGGCAGCAACUCUAUCCCAGUGAGUGGCCUGACUUGACCCCCAGUGCACACUCAUCACUCACAACACCCAUACAUCUGUGUGAUAUUGGCACUGUCUGGGCUGAAGCCAGGGCACAGAGAGGGCGCAGUGAAGUGCUGACUCAAAUUAUAGCAAAUAAUUGUGUGCAGUUUGAUUCAUGACUAAAUGCAGUCCUGUGAACAGCAAAAAAAUAUGCAGCUGUGUUUCUGUCUUGAUAAAGGAAUUUGAGAAUAGGUUUCAAGAUUGCAAAAAAAAUAAUAAUCAUUUUUUUGGACUCCAUUUUCAGUCAACGUAAAUACAUUACCUGCGAAUUUUCAAAUUUAAUGUACUGAGCUGCAAUCAGAUAUUCAUCUCCCUCAUCUUUACUAGACUAUUAUAAGCCUUCUCUUACCAAGGAGAAAUAUCCCACGCUGCACAACCAUACCUUAUUUAUGUCACCGCUUUUGGCAGUACAUACAUUUGUGAACAACUGUUUUCAAGGAUGAGGCACGGGAGUAAAAUUUCAUCAACAAUCUCUAAGAAACACCUGAGAGCUCACUGAGAAUGACAACCACUGCCACUGAACCAGCCUGGUGCAUUAGUUUCACAAAAACAAAGUCACAUAUCCCACUGAUUUUAUGAUUUUGUUGUGUAUUUAAUGUUUUCAUAAGAAAGGAUAAAAAUAAUACAAAAAAAAAAAAAGUUUUGUCACCUAGAUACAUUAACUAUGUUAAAUAUUUCACAAGAGCUCUUUUGAAAGUUACACCUCCUAUUUUAUGAUGUUGACCCAUGACACUAGAGGCAGAUGUUGGUGAUAUGGCAGUAGAGGCUGAACCUUCCCAUCAAUAUUCCGCUGCAGACAGAUGGCAGCAGAGAAACAUUCUAACAAAAUGGUGUUUGAUACGAAAGUAUGUAUGAGGUAAAGGUGUGUCACUGAAUUCCUCCAUGCAGAAAAAAUGGCACCCACUGAUAUUCACUGAUGCUUGCUGAAUAUUUAUGGAGGCCAAAGCGGAUGUGAGCACAGUGAGGUGAUGGGUGGUGUGCUUCAACACUUUUUUUCAUUUCUGGUGAAAAUGCAUAGCUAAUGGUGGCGACUAUGAUCAAAAGCAGUGUUCUGUAGCUGAGAAUUUGCUCUAUCAAACAAUGUUAUUGUGCUCUUUGUACCUGUUGUUGUUUCCAUGGAAAUAAAUAGGCGGAAUUUCUUUCAGAGUAACCUACAUAUAUGGAGCCCAGAACAAUUUCUCUUCACUCACUGCAGCUCAGGCAAUGCAAAAGGUUGGAUGCCCAUGCAUUACACAAUGUUGGUCAAGUUCUUUGGAUGAGGAAAGAUGGAGAAAGAUGUAAAUAGCAUCACUAUUGUGUUUCUCCUUCAGUAGAGUUGCAUGCCAGUAUACAUUGCUUCUCCAACAUUCUCAGCUAAUUGUGAAAUAUAUGUAUUCCUCAAUAGAUGAAUGACCUACAGAUACUAUGGUUGGCAUUAAACUCUAUGUAUUGUAAAGUUAGCUGUAGUACAGCUGCUAGUAGUUCUGUGAUACUCACACAGGAAAAAGUCUCAUGUUUUUACAUGUCAAUAAACCAACUAACUUUAAGUGAAUUUAGUUGAAAAACAAAUCAAGAAAAGAUUACAUAGAGUCUCUUGUGACAUCAAAUUUCCAAUCGUAAAACUUCACUUAGGUGAAGUUUGAACCUGAGUGCAAGAUUAGUAGGUGAAGCUUAUAGCAGGUAAUUAAUUGCUCCAGUGGAGGAUACUAGGUGGAAGCAAUCAGUUUUAAGUAAAGCCAGUGUUCUCUAGCAUGGUAGACAACAGUGAUAUAUUAAGAAUGCAACAAUACUGCAAAGUCCAUGAGCAAAAAAUAUCUUAGUUUUAAGACAUAAAGUAUUAGAUUAUCAAGUCAACACUUCCCAGUAAGUAGUAGCUUUUGGAGACUUUCAGAUGUUCUCUGAAGACUCAUUCUGAGUUAACAUCUUCUGUAAUCACCUCUGUUUUCUACCCAUCUGUGACAUUUCAUUUGUUGCAAAAAGGAUGAAAGUAAGAACAUCCUAAAAAUCAUGCAGUGAUUCUUACUCUAACCUCUGCUAAUGAAGUGCGAGCUGAUUAACUGUUUACAAGCAUUGAAUUAACUCCUCUGCUUGGAGACUUAUAUUGACUCAAAAUAUCCACAGAUCAAAUGUACAUGUUCUCUUUGAUUUUUUUAUUGCACCCAACAGUACAGAGUCUGAUAGCACAGAAAGGCUUCAACAGAAGCUCCAGUGUUGUGAAAUAAACACAUGACUUGUGAGAUUACAGUAUUUACUGGUGAUCACAGCACUAUCCAAUUUCAACAUCCUGUAUGAGGAGACUGCAGCCGUGUAGGCAUGUUUUUCUUGGUUACACUGCAGCAUCCUUUUCUUAAGACAUACUUCCAAGAAGUUGUAUCACAUGAGCAAUGAGUAAAUUUUGUGUAAAGCACCUUAAACUGUUUCUCAAAUUAAACAGCACAAUGUAAAAUAUAAACAAUUAUUUAAUAGUUAAAACAUUGAGCUAUCAUGUACUCAAUUGAAAAAAAAAAAAAAAUGUCCUCUGAUUUCCCAGGCAGGUCAUUCUUGAGUAGGAAAUAUUAGAUAGAUCAAAGAGCUUUAAAGACAGAGUAAGUUAUAAAAGAUCAUUAAUUUUCUCCUUACUCCUGGAUAAGGAGUGUAAGAUAGUAUCAGACUAUCACUAGAGAGGACUUACCCCAAAUUAAAUUAGUCAAAUCAAUCAAAUAGAACCACUAUGCUGCUGAACACAAGGCUCAGAAGAAAAUGUCAUUUGAAGUUCCACUUGAAGUUGUUCCCCAGGCAGUUUGCAGUGGUAUGUAUAUAAUAUAACAUCACUUGGUAACGUGAGACAAUUAUUUUUGUAUUUAGGGAAGGUAAUUAGGAAAAAAUGUUUAAAUCAUGGGAAUACUUUUUUCCUCUUCUAAAAAGUUUGUCAUUGGUUGGUCCUUCUGGCUACCAGGGUGCACUGCCAGCACAGAUACAAAUAGUCACCAACCAGAAGACCCAGAUCUCUUUUUGCGGCGCUGCUCUCCAGGCCCUUGCUCCCCCAGUUUGUACAUACAGUCAGGGCUACCCCAUUCCAGGUGCAGAACCCAACACUUGCUCUUCUUCACACACAUGGGGACCAUCCUCAAAUUUAUCCAGAUCUUGGUGCAAGGCCUCUCUGCCCACAAGGGAGUUAGCACUCCUCCCAGCAAGCAUCAUCCACAAAUUAACUUAAUAUAACUUCCAGAUCUUUAGUAGAAUCGAUAGUGAAAACAUGAAAGAGAAAUGGCCUCAAAAUGAAACACCACAGAAUCUCACUGGAGACAAGUAGGGCAACUCUCAGUCCAUGCCUCUCGUCACCCAACAAAGACGUGUUUCUGUUCUCCUGGGAUGUUCAUAGGGUCACAAUGCUAUGACCUUAUGAUUUGAUGGGCCACCUCUCAGAAAACUGCUAUAACUACAGGGAUUCUGACAUCAGAACACCAAUUGUGGCAUGAGCCAGACAGCCAGCCAAGGCAGGCAGGCAGGGACUGUGACUCCAGACAGUCAGCCAAGGUAUGCAGGCAGGGGCUUUGUCUCGAGCCAGCCUAGACAGGCAGGCAGGGGCCAUGACUCCAGCGAGCAAGCCAAGGCAGGGAGGCAGGCAGGCAGGAGCCGUGACUCCAGCCAGUCAGCCAAGACAGGCAGGCAGGGGUCGUGAAUCCAGCAAGCAAGCAAAGGCAAAAAGGCAGGCAGGGGCCAUGACUCCUGCCAGCCAACCAAGUCAGGCAGGCAGGGGCUGUGACUCCAGCCAGCCAGUGAGCCAAGGCAGGCAGGC
ensembl:lncRNA